ACGCCCAUGCUUGUGCCCCACACUUCCUGGGAUAGGCUGAAGGCCCCCCCUAUAACUCUGUACUGGAUAAUCAGUUAUGUAAGAUGGAUGGAUGGUCAUAAGUUUAAGUGUAAUUUCUACUAAAACAAUAUUGUGAGCUUUCAAAAAAUGUGUGACUUUUUAGGCUAAUUUAUACAUAAUAUUAUCAAUGAGAGACACCAGAUGUCACGUUCCAACAAUGAAGGAGGCAGGAGCCGGCAUGAGGGCAAACCAAAAGGGGGUUUAUUAAGGAAUGGAAACAGGGUAAGCAGAAGCUGACCAUGUGGGGUAAAAGACAAGACAAAAUUGGCAAGAGGGGAAACCACUGUAGCACAUAUGAGAUGACAUCAAUGACCGGACUAGGGAGAACAGGACUGGGAGGCGCUCGUAUAUGCCACUGAGGAGGAACAAACAAGAGGCAACUGGAGUGAAUCAUAUGAAGGCUGAAAUGAGAGGUAAGAUAAAUUAGUAACAGGUGGGGCUCGUUAAAGCCAAACUGGGGAAAAACAAGGGGGCAGGAAUGCAGGGUGUGACACCAGAGUUAUAAUCAUGCAUGUGAAUAAACUGUGAUAGCAUUUAAGUAGCUCAGGAAUUCCCAUACAAGGCUAUUGUUUAAGGCAAAAUAUUUAAGAUGAAUUAUAAUGUGUAUCUGUGUUUUUCUUUCUCAAAACACGAUAGAAAAAAAUAUUUAUAUCGAUAGUUACAGCAUUUACUAUAAUUUUUAAAUUGUUCUUACUGUUAAUUAUUUUUAAGGUGCAGUACUUAACUUUGGAUUUCAGUCUUCGGGUGUCCCCCUGCUUCGUGUCCAAUGCCAUGUGAGAGAAGCACCAGGAACCCCUUUAAUGACGCUCACCUGGAUAAUUGUUGGGUCAUCGCAUGGAGUCAGGAUGGCCUGAAACCACCAUGGAGGAAAAUCUACCAGCAUCUCAAUUUUGGGUAACGCUGUAUAAGAAGUGGACCGAUGCAAAGUACCCAGAAACUAUACUGUGUCCUGAAGUACCAUUCAACCUUCCACUAAAUCUUCACACUCCACCCCCGAUACCGCUGCCAGUGCAUCACCAGCCGCACCACCCAAUUCCAUCAGAUUGCUAAACCAGUGACUGACUUCUGUCUACCAUUGCA